CCCAAGUGGUGAAGGCCUUGGUCUUAGGGUAUCACUCUCUUCAAGGUCCAAGGUUCAACACCUUAUGGGUGCAAACAAUCCUUUGGGGUCACACCCUUUAGUGAAAAGUCAAGCAAAUUAACCAAUUCUGUUUAGAGAAA